rnacentral:rRNA from 1 species
AGAGUUUGAUCAUGGCUCAGAACGAACGCUGGCGGCAGGCCUAACACAUGCAAGUCGAACGAAAAGCCACCUUCGGGUGGUGGACAGUGGCAGACGGGUGAGUAACGCGUGGGAACGUGCCUUUCGGUUCGGGAUAACCCAGGGAAACUUGGGCUAAUACCGGAUACGCCCUCCGGGGGAAAGAUUCAUUGCCGAAAGAUCGGCCCGCGUCGGAUUAGCUAGUUGGUGGGGUAAAAGCCUACCAAGGCGACGAUCCGUAGCUGGUCUGAGAGGAUGACCAGCCACACUGGGACUGAGACACGGCCCAGACUCCUACGGGAGGCAGCAGUGGGGAAUAUUGGACAAUGGGCGCAAGCCUGAUCCAGCCAUGCCGCGUGGGUGAAGAAGGCCCUAGGGUUGUAAACCCCUUUCAGCGGGGAAGAUAAUGACGGUACCCGCAGAAGAGC